UAGCGGAGAAAUUCCAAUCGAACUCGGAGAUAGCUGGUUCUCCCCGAAAUAGCUUUAGGGCUAGCGUCGGAUAUGUGUAGUGGAGGUAGAGCACUGAAUGGGCUAGGGGGCAUAUCGCUUACCGAACCUUAUCAAACUCCGAAUGCCAUAUACAUUUAGUCCGGCAGUCAGACUACGAAUGAUAAGAUCCGUGGUCAAAAGGGAAACAGCCCAGAUCGUCAGCUAAGGUCCCAAAGUGUAAGUUAAGUGGAAAAGGAUGUGGGAUUUCUAAGACAACUAGGAUGUUGGCUUAGAAGCAGCCACUCAUUUAAAGAGUGCGUAAUAGCUCACUAGUCGAGAGAUCCUGCGCCGAAAAUGUCCGGGGCUAAAACUUACCACCGAAGCUACGGGCUUGCGUAAGCAAGCGGUAGGGGAGCGUCGUAAUCGGGCUGAAGUCGUACCGUAAGGAGCGGUGGACUGAUUACGAGUGAGAAUGUUGGCAUUAGUAGCGAGAUGUAGGUGAGAAUCCUACAGGCCGAAUAUCUAAGGUUUCCUCAGGAAGGCUCGUCCGCUGAGGGUUAGUCGGGACCUAAGCCGAGGCCGAAAGGCGUAGGCGAUGGACAAUCGGUUGAUAUUCCGAUACCACUACUAUCGUUAUUAUCGAGGGUGUGACGGAGAAGGAUAGUGUGUGCUAGCGAUUGGAAAUGCUAGUCUAAGCGUUUAGGGAGUUACGGUAGGCAAAUCCGCUGUAACAAUUCUGAGGCGUGAUGGGGAAGGCCAUAUAGGCCGAAGUACAUGAUUCCAUGCUUCCAAGAAAAGCAUCUAGAGAGAGAAGUAGUGCCCGUACCGCAAACCGACACAGGUAGAUGAGGAGAGAAUCCUAAGGCCGGCGGAAGAAUUGCAGUUAAGGAACUAGGCAAAUUGACCCCGUAAGUUAGCGAGAAGGGGUGCCUGCGAGAGCAGGCCGCAGAGAAUAGGCCCAAGCAACUGUUUAGCAAAAACACAGGUCUCUGCUAAAGCGCAAGCUGAUGUAUAGGGGCUGACGCCUGCCCGGUGCUGGAAGGUUAAGGGGAACACUUAGCGCAAGCGAAGGUGUGAACUUAAGCCCCAGUAAACGGCGGCCGUAACUAUAACGGUCCUAAGGUAGCGAAAUUCCUUGUCAGGUAAGUUCUGACCCGCACGAAUGGCGUAAUGACUUGGGCACUGUCUCAACUGCAAAUCCGGCGAAGUUGUAGUGCGAGUGAAGAUGCUCGCUACCCGCGAUUGGACGGAAAGACCCCGUAGAGCUUUACUGUAGCUUAGCAUUGAAUUCCGGUAUUGUCUGUACAGGAUAGGUGGGAGACUGGGAAACUAGGGCGUCAGCCUUAGUGGAGUCAACCUUGGGAUACCACCCUGACAGUACUGGGGUUCUAACAGGACGCCAUGAAUCUGGUGACUGGACAUUGUUAGGUGGGCAGUUUGACUGGGGCGGUCGCCUCCUAAAAAGUAACGGAGGCGCCCAAAGGUUCCCUCAGAACGGUCGGAAAUCGUUCGUAGAGUGCAAAGGCAGAAGGGAGCCUGACUGCGAGACCUACAAGUCGAGCAGGGACGAAAGUCGGGCUUAGUGAUCCGGUGGUACCUCGUGGGAGGGCCAUCGCUCAACGGAUAAAAGCUACCUCGGGGAUAACAGGCUGAUCUCCCCCAAGAGUCCACAUCGACGGGGAGGUUUGGCACCUCGAUGUCGGCUCGUCGCAUCCUGGGGCUG
rnacentral:rRNA from 1 species